rnacentral:rRNA from 1 species
UACGUAGGUGGCGAGCGUUGUCCGGAAUUACUGGGUGUAAAGGGCGUGUAGGCGGGGAAGCAAGUCAGAUGUGAAAUCCCGGGGCUCAACUCCGGAGUUGCAUCUGAAACUGUUUUUCUUGAGUGCUGGAGAGGAAAGCGGAAUUCCUAGUGUAGCGGUGAAAUGCGUAGAUAUUAGGAGGAACACCAGUGGCGAAGGCGGCUUUCUGGACAGUAACUGACACUGAGGUACGAAAGUGUGGGGAGCAAACAGGAUUAGAUACCCUGGUAGUCCCU